rnacentral:rRNA from 1 species
UACGUAGGGGGCAAGCGUUGUCCGGAUUUAUUGGGCGUAAAGAGCGUGUAGGCGGCCAGGUAGGUCCGUUGUGAAAACUCGAGGCUCAACCUCGAGACGUCGGCGGAAACCCUCUGGCUAGAGUCCGGAAGAGGAGAGUGGAAUUCCUGGUGUAGCGGUGAAAUGCGCAGAUAUCAGGAAGAGCACCCGUGGCGAAGGCGGCUCUCUGGGACGGUACUGACGCUGAGACGCGAAAGCGUGGGGAGCAAACAGG